GCCUCCCCAGAUACUCCCUCCCAGUCCUCCUAACCCUGCAGAUCCCCAACCCCCACCCCUUUCCCAUUUGGUCUCUCUUCUCAGCAACUUUACCUCCUUACCUCUCUUUGACCUCCUUUCCUCUCCUUCACAGUUUGGCCCUUGACUUCGGGGCCUUCUUACCUUUCUUUACCUGAAAUGAUCUGCCCCUUACCCGGGUCUCCUUCACACCCUCCUCUCUGGUCCUAACCCUUCUGCGGCCAAGCCCAGCACAGCUCCCCGGCUCGGCCUGGUCAGCUUGAGCUGUAUUUUGUUCGAGUGCCCCUGGCCUACGAAAGGAGUGUGUAGUGUAAAGUGGGGCCAAGUGUCCCCCCGGGCUGGGGCCACUGCCUCGCCCCCUCCGCCCCUCCCGAGUCCCGGUUGCGGCGCUUCCUGGGCGGAUGGUUUGGACUUGCUGCAGCAGCUGCGGUUCUGCUGUGUCAUGCAAGAAGGAGGCGGCGGCGGCCGGAGCUGGAGUGGGAGGAGGGGAGGAACCUGAUCCUCCGGUAGCGAAGGGCUGGAGGCAAACACCGAGCUCCCCCAGAGCCGCCCGGAGCAGGGAGGGCUCCGCUACCCCGAGGGGCCCUCCCCGCGGGGCCGAGGGUCCUGGGUGAUGACAAAAAGAGCAAUUUGCUUUCCCUCAUCUAUCCGAUCCCAUCACACCACUCUGAAUCAAUUGAUGGAAUCUGGGGAAUCCAUUUCCGUGCCCUAAAUUCUGUAAGAACCUCUUACAGAAGCCACCAGCUUCUCAGUUUGUUAUUGACUCUGCAUAAAGGUGUUGGCUGCUAUCAGCAGAAGCCAUAAAGAAUAUCACAGAGGAAAAGGUUGACUUGGUUGGGAGAACAUGGAAAUCUACAACAAAGUGUCCUUGAAGUAGAAAUUUUAGAAACUAAAAUAAUACAUGUACUUUAAGCGAUACUAAAAAUGCUGUGACAUCCUGUGUUAUUUAGUUAGACCAGAGGACAGCAAACUUCUUCUAUAAAGAGCCAGACAGGAAGUAUUUUAGGCUUUCCUGGCCAUGCAGUCUUUCUCAAUUACUCCAUUCUGCCACUAUAGUGAGAAAAUAGCCAUAGUGAUAGGUAAAUGAACAAGCCAGUUGUUUCAAUAAAACUUUAUUCAUGUACACUGUAGUGUUUAUUUCACAUAAUUUCCCCAUGAUAUGAAGUAUAGUUCUUUUCUUGAUUUUUUUUUACCCCCAACUGUUUUAAAAAUGUAAAAACAAUCCUUAGCUCACAGGCCACAUAAAACAAGGCAUGAGUUGGAUUUGGACUGUGGGCAGUAUAUUAGCAACAUCUGGUUUAGACACACAUGAAGAUGAUGAGAACAAUAUUCAGAUUUGGACUUAUA
rnacentral:lncRNA from 1 species